AACGAACGCUGGCGGCAGGCUUAACACAUGCAAGUCGAGCGCCCCGCAAGGGGAGCGGCAGACGGGUGAGUAACGCGUGGGAAUCUACCCAUCUCUACGGAAUAACGCAUGGAAACGUGUGCUAAUACCGUAUACGUCCUUCGGGAGAAAGAUUUAUCGGAGAUGGAUGAGCCCGCGUUGGAUUAGCUAGUUGGUGGGGUAAAGGCCUACCAAGGCGACGAUCCAUAGCUGGUCUGAGAGGAUGAUCAGCCACACUGGGACUGAGACACGGCCCAGACUCCUACGGGAGGCAGCAGUGGGGAAUAUUGGACAAUGGGCGCAAACCUGACCCAGCCACGCCGCGUGAGUGAUGAAGGCCCUAGGGUUGUAAAGCUCUUUCACCGGUGAAGAUAAUGACGGUAACCGGAGAAGAAGCCCCGGCUAACUUCGUGCCAGCCGCCGCCGUAACAC
rnacentral:rRNA from 1 species